AGAUUGAACGCUAGCGGGAUGCUUUACACAUGCAAGUCGAACGGCAGCGCGGACUUCGGUCUGGCGGCGAGUGGCGAACGGGUGAGUAAUAUAUCGGAACGUGCCCAGUAGCGGGGGAUAACUACGCGAAAGCGUGGCUAAUACCGCAUACGCCCUACGGGGGAAAGGGGGGAUCGCAAGACCUCUCACUAUUGGAGCGGCCGAUAUCAGAUUAGCUAGUUGGUGAGGUAAAGGCUCACCAAGGCGACGAUCUGUAGCUGGUUUGAGAGGACGACCAGCCACACUGGGACUGAGACACGGCCCAGACUCCUACGGGAGCAGCAGUGGGGAAUUUGACAAUGGGAACCUGAAUCCAGCCA
rnacentral:rRNA from 1 species